UACAGGGGGUGCAAGCGUUGCUCGGAUUUACUGGGCGUAAAGCGUACGCAGACGGUGAGAAAGGUCGGAUGUGAAAGCCCCGGGCUCAACCCGGGAACUGCAUCCGAAACCAUCUCGCUAGAGUAUGGGAGAGGGAAGCGGAAUUCCUGGUGUAGAGGUGAAAUUCGUAGAUAUCAGGAGGAACAUCUGCGGCGAAGGCGGCUUCCUGGCCCAUUACUGACGUUCAGGUACGAAAGCGUGGGUAGCAAACAGG
rnacentral:rRNA from 1 species